GAUGAAGAACGUAGCGAAAUGCGAUACGUAGUGUGAAUUGCAGAAUUCAGUGAAUCAUCGAAUCUUUGAACGCACAUUGCACCUCUCAGUAUUCCGGGAGGUAUGCCUGUUCGAGCGUCAUUUGUACCCUCAAGCUCUGCUUGGUGUUGGGUGUUUGUUCCGCCUCUGUGUGUGAACUCGCCUCAAAACAAUUGGCAGCCGGCGUACUUGUUUCGGAGCGCAGCACAUUUUGCGAUCCAGAUCAACGUACAGCGGCAUCCAAGAAGCCUUAUUUAACGCUCUUGACCUCGGAUCAGGUAGGGAUACCCGCUGAACUUAAGCAUAUCAAUAAGCGGAGGA
rnacentral:misc_RNA from 1 species